rnacentral:lncRNA from 1 species
UUCAAUCUUCCUAUUUCUUUAUUCAAGUUACAUUCAUAUCGGUACACCCAUCCCAUUCCACCUUCCACAGUCCCUCAUCACUGACUCCCUUUUAUCUCCCCAUGGAGGGUGGGAACCACUUGAGUAUCCCCCAACUAUGGCAUGUCAAGUCUCUGUAGGGUUAAGUCUCUGCAGGGUUAGACACAUCCUUUCCCACUGAGGUCAGACAAGGCAGCCCAGUAAGGGAAACAGUUUGCACAGACUGGAACAGCUUAAGGGAUAUGUCCCACUCUGGAUGGUGGGGGCCUCCGUCCCAGCCUGUGUGUGCUCUUUGGUUGGUGGCUCCAUCUCUGAGAGUCUCCUAGGUUCCAGGUUAGUUGACUCUGAGGGUCUCCUCAUGGCCUUACUAUUCUUUCAGAGGCCCUCAAUUCUUUCCCCAACUCUUUUAAAAUACUCCCUGAGCCCUGUCCAAUGUUAGGUUGUGGGUCUCUGCAUGUUUCACUCAGAUGCUGGAAGGAGAUUCUCAAAGGACAAUGAUGCUAAGCUACUAUCUGCAAGUAUAACAAAUUAUCCUCAGCAAUGCCAGCCUUGGUGCUUGCCCAUGGGAUGGGUUACCAGUUGGGCAGGGUAUAGUUUGGCCAUUCCCUCAGUCUGUUUCAACUUUGUGCCUGCCUUACUUGCAGCAGAACAAAUUUUGGGAGGAAAGGUUUUUGGUUUUCUUGGUGUACUGAACACUUCACUGGUGGUUCUGCCUGACUGCAAGAUGUCACCUGUUCUUGGUCCAUAACUCAAUGCUAUAUAUCUAAGCUAAGAUCACCUCCCUAGCCGCAUUUGUGCCCUCCUAUUCAUAGUCUCAGGCACAUUCGACAGAUGCCCCCACCCUAACCCUCCCAGCAUCUGCUGAUUUCUUUUCAUUUUCCUGGCUUUCUGGCAUUCUCUUGUCUCUUACCACACCUGUUCCUAACACUCCCCUUCUUUCUUGACUACAGUCCCAUCCAGUUUUCUCCCUUCUACCUGCCUCUUCUGUCUCUUUCAUACCCCCU